ensembl:ncRNA K10C3.8 ncRNA
CUGCUCCAAGCUCAUUUGCUUUUUUCUGCUCAUUAUCGAACCGGGGCAGGCGCCGUCGCACGCAUACAUGUCCAUGCUGCUCGUGCAAUGCGCCUCGUCUUUUCUGGCUUUCUCGCCCCGAGCAACAACAUUUCGCUUCGUCUUAUUCUAUAGAAAAAGUGUGACUGCUUGCCACUUUGUGGAUUUAU